UAGGGAAUAUUAGUAAUGGGCGAAAGCCUGAACUAGCAACGCCGCGUGUGCAAAGAAGGCCUUCGGGUUGUAAAGCACUUUUUGGAAGGAAUAGGAAGGAAUGUACUUCCAGAAUAAGUCUCGGCUAACUACGUGCCAGCAGCCGCGGUAACACGUAGGAGGCGAACGUUAUCCGGAUUUACUGGGCGUAAAGCGCGUGUAGGUGGUUCUGUAAGUAGGGCGUGAAAGCUCCUGGCUCAACUGGGAGAGGCCGUUCUAAACUACAGAACUAGAGGAUGGUAGAGGGAUGUGGAAUUCCAGGUGUAGCGGUGGAAUGCGCAGAUAUCUGGAGGAACACCAGUGGCGAAGGCGGCCUCCUGGACCAUUCCUGACACUCAGACGCGAAAGCUAGGGUAGCAAACG
rnacentral:rRNA from 1 species